AUUGAACGCUGGCGGCAGGCCUAACACAUGCAAGUCGAGCGGAGCGGCGGACGGGUGAGUAACGCGUGGGUAACCUGCCCUAUACACAUGGAUAACAUACUGAAAAGUUUACUAAUACAUGAUAGUAUAGGAUGGACCCGCGUCUGAUUAGCUAGUUGGUGAGAUAACUGCCCACCAAGGCGACGAUCAGUAGCCGACCUGAGAGGGUGAUCGGCCACAUUGGAACUGAGACACGGUCCAAACUCUACGGGAGGCAGCAGUGGGGGAUAUUGCACAAUGGGCGAAAGCCUGAUGCAGCAACGCCGCGUGAACGAUGAAGGUCUUCGGAUCGUAAAGUUCUGUUGCAGGGGAAGCGUUACCCGCAGAAGAAGCACCGGCUAACUCCGUGCCAGCAGCCGCGGUAAUUC
rnacentral:rRNA from 1 species